rnacentral:rRNA from 1 species
UACGUAGGGGGCAAGCGUUAUCCGGAAUUACUGGGUGUAAAGGGAGCGUAGACGGUAAUGUAAGUCUGGAGUGAAAGGCGGGGGCCCAACCCCCGGACUGCUCUGGAAACUAUGUUACUAGAGUGCAGGAGAGGUAAGCGGAAUUCCUAGUGUAGCGGUGAAAUGCGUAGAUAUUAGGAGGAACACCAGCGGCGAAGGCGGCUUACUGGACUGUAACUGACGUUGAGGCUCGAAAGCGUGGGGAGCAAACAGG